rnacentral:rRNA from 1 species
GACGAACGCUGGCGGCGUGCCUAACACAUGCAAGUCGUGCGAGAAAGUUCCUUCGGGAGCGAGUAAAGCGGCGCACGGGUGAGUAACACGUAGGUAACCUGCCCCCCAGUCUGGAACAACUAGAGGAAACUCUAGCUAAUGCCGGAUGAGACCACGAUCCCUUCGGGGUUGCGGCCAAAGAUGGCCUCUACUUGUAAGCUAUCGCUGAGGGAUGGGCCUGCGGCCAUUAGCUUGUGGUGAGGUAACGGCUCACCAAGGCUGUGAUGGCUAGCUGGUCUGAGAGGAUGACCAGCCACACUGGACUGAGACACGGCCCAGACUCCUACGGAGCAGCAGUGGGAAUA